rnacentral:rRNA from 1 species
GACGAACGCUGGCGGCGUGCUUAACACAUGCAAGUCGAACGGAAAGGCCCCUUUGGGGGUACUCGAGUGGCGAACGGGUGAGUAACACGUGAGUAACCUGCCCUUGACUUCGGGAUAACUUCAGGAAACUGGGGCUAAUACCGGAUAGGAAUCCUUGCUGCAUGGUGGGGGUUGGAAAGCUUCGGCGGUUUUGGAUGGACUCGCGGCUUAUCAGCUUGUUGGUGGGGUAGUGGCUUACCAAGGCUUUGACGGGUAGCCGGCCUGAGAGGGCGACCGGCCACAUUGAGACUGAGAUACGGCGCAGACUCCUACGGGAGGCAGCAGUGGGGAAUAUUACACAAUGGGCGGAAGCCUGAUGCAGCAACGCCGCGUGCGUGAUGACGGCCUUCGGGUUGGAAACCGCUUUCAGCAGGGGCGAAGCUUGUGGUGACGGUACCUGCAGAAGAAGCACCGGCUAACUACGUG